GGGCCCGUAGCUUAGUCUGGUUAGAGCGCUCGGCUCAUAACCGAGUGGCCGCCGGUUCAAAUCCGGUCGGGCCCACCA
rnacentral:tRNA from 1 species